GCCGCGUGAGUGAUGAAGGCUUUCGGGUCGUAAAACUCUGUUGUUAGGGAAGAACAAGUACAAGAGUAACUGCUUGUACCUUGACGGUACCUAACCAGAAAGCCACGGCUAACUACGUGCCAGCAGCCGCGGUAAUACGUAGGUGGCAAGCGUUAUCCGGAAUUAUUGGGCGUAAAGCGCGCGCAGGCGGUUUCUUAAGUCUGAUGUGAAAGCCCACGGCUCAACCGUGGAGGGUCAUUGGAAACUGGGGAACUUGAGUGCAGAAGAGAAAAGCGGAAUUCCACGUGUAGCGGUGAAAUGCGUAGAGAUGUGGAGGAACACCAGUGGCGAAGGCGGCUUUUUGGUCUGUAACUGACGCUGAGGCGCGAAAGCGUGGGGAGCAAACAGGAUUAGAUACCCUGGUAGUCCACGCCGUAACGAUGAGUGCUAAGUGUUAGAGGGUUUCCGCCCUUUAGUGCUGCAGCUAACGCAUUAAGCACUCCGCCUGGGGAGUACGGUCGCAAGACUGAAACUCAAAGG
rnacentral:rRNA from 2 species